rnacentral:lncRNA from 1 species
GCCAAGUUUGGUAAGCUGGGCGAGAACUGGAAAGUAUCAUUUAGGGUCUUGAAGGUCAUUCACUAGGAUUCUAUAAGCUGGCCAAGCUAGAUGGUCAAGUCAUUCUCUAUUCCUGUAACAUCUAUAAUCUGAGAAAAUUUUAUCAAUAACAAGUUAACGAGAUAUUUUUUCAUAUGUUGUGUUCUUCAGUGAUAAGGAAUGAUGGGAUUGCCUUCCUAAAAAAGUUUAAGGAGACAAGAAGAGGUCAUAAUGCGAG